UUGUUGGGAUGAGCACUGGGUGUUGUAGGUAAGCCAAUGUGACAAUAAAUUAUAUUCAUAAAAAAAGAGAACUGUAUGGUUUAAACACCGAACAGCACAUCUUCCAUCUGUAUUUUCCCUUGAUCUCUUUAGGCCGUCAUCAUUGCAUUUCUAGAAUACAAUCUCUUUUGACGUUGGCCUCACCCCUGCUUUUCACACCUCAUGGCCAGUGGGGAGGAUAGGUGAGAGGUCCACAGGCAGAUGGAGAAGAAGUCUCAUUUGUGCAAGAGAUGUCCGUCCCUUAUCCUGCGUGGCUCGAGGACAGCCCAGGAGAGCAUGGCGUUUCAUCGAUUGAAGAUAUCUCUGUGUCUUUGCCGUGGGAGCAAGUUAUUGAGAUACCACAUACGUUUCCCACCCCCCGCCUUCGUUGCGACGUUAAGGAAACCCGUGGUGGGGGUGACAGAUGUGAUACCACGGUGAGUCUGGAGAGGAGGGGUUGCACUGGCCUGAGACUGCCUGAGGGCAGAUUGUGGUCCGGAGAUGGUGAGUCUGGUCCUGCCUCCGUCCCGGGAAGCAUCGCAAGUAUCAGAUAAGUCCUUUCCGUUAUGAGGAGUCCUAAUUAAUGCAUGUGCUGAUUUGUUCUUCCCUGCUGAGGCCUGCAGAUUAAUGCUUACUGGGUGCUACAUGUGUUACCUCUUAUGUAUCUUUAAUAAAAAUAACACUGGCUACCAUUGA